UUCUUUCCUUCCAAAUCCUCUCACUUCCGUUCUCUUCUUUCGUUAAGUGAUACUCAAAAGCGGGGUGUUAGUGAACACCACCCUAAUGUAUAGUGGGUGUCUUGUGAAGUGGUGGCUACCACGGAAGAUCACUAAAGGCAUUGUGUCUAUCUCUCUCUUUUUUUUCUCCCCCUCUCUCUUCUUUAUUGGUUGUUCACUAGUGCACGUUGAGAACUGGUAAACACCGUCCCAAAGUAUAGUUGAUUGGUUGUGAAAGGGCUACGAAAUUGUUUUCAAGCGUCUAUAUGUCGUAAGGAUACCGGAUACCUUAGUAGGACGAUGCUCUCGCACACCAAACCCUAUCCUUUUCCAAUAUUUUCCCCUCUCUUUCGUUCACACAAAAGAGACGAUGGUGCUUUCUGCUUUCAUCGCAACGAUCCGUCGACGACCUCCUUCCAAUUACCCCUCUUACCGUACGACGAUCUUCUUCCGGCAACGACUCCUCUUCCAAAUCUCUGCGCUUAGGGUUCAUCUCUCCUUGGAUUCCUCCGAUUAGGAUUCACCCUGUAAGCAAUGGGGCCAUACGUGAAUAAACCAAGUAAAACUGCCCGAUAGUAGAUUGCACAAUUACAAGGAUGAGCUUAUGAUGAAAUAUAUCAUUUUUCUUGUCAUAAUUUGGUUUGCACUGUAACAUUUCCAUACAAAACCUGGAUUACUUUUAUGGACGCAUCCAAAAACUCUGUAGUUGACUUGACUUUAUAACUCUAACGAUUAGGUUAACUUGGAAAUCUUAGUUAUCUCAGAGUUUGCUCACAUGAGAUGGUAUAAGUUCAAAGUUUGCAAAAUCGUUUCCUAGUGGGAUUGACCGAUUACAGUUACCUAAUAAGGUCAUUGGUUCUCCCUUGUGCUAACAUUGUGUAUGCAUCUAUACAAGGCAACCAGGUUUGUGUGAAAAUUUUAUAAGGUUAAAACUUUGUGCAGAUCAAAUUGUGAAGAUAAAAAGUGAUCCCGUUCAUCAUAGGCUCUUCUUUGUAAUUAUGCACCCACUUAUCGGGGUGAUUUUAUCUGGUUUAUUAACAUAUGACCUCAUUACUUAUCAACAACGAAAGAUAGGAACCAUUGGAUGAAAUAGAUGAUGAUUAUUUCUCUAUGACAAUUUGAUUGAUGGAAGAGUAGUCUAUGAUGAUAUCAUGAAGGCAACGAAUGAUUUUCGUGUUGUUUAUGGUAAUGUGUACAAAGCCACACUACAAACCAACAAUGUAGUAGCUGUCAAGAAGUUCCACUCAUCAUCCGAGAAUGUUGAUCGAUAAAGGUUUCCUUAAUGAGGUAGAAUCAUAAACAAACAUGAGGUAUCAAAACAUAGCUAAACUCUAUGGAUAUUGCUCCGAUGCCUAUAACUCAUAUUUAAUUUACGAAUACAUGUAAAAAGAAAGCCUUGGAUCAAUCUUAAGUACCUUUUAUAUUAGCUAAAGAAUUGAAUUGGUUGACAAGUUUCAAUUUUAUAAAGGCUGUUGCUAAUGAUUUGGCUUUAUAUGCAUCAUGGUUGAGCACCUUCUUGAUUAUGAUUAUGAGGCACAUAUUUCUGAUUUUGGGUUGCCCAAACUGCCCAACAUAUUGAUGUGUCUCGAGACAACCUUAGUGGGACCAAGAUUCUAAAUGUGCAAAAAGUUACACUCUGAAACACCCUGCUGUGACCCCACAAAGCCAACCUCAAGUGCAUGCUCUAAUUGUUAAUAAUCCCGCCUCGUGCGCAAGGCUUGGAUUGAUAACAUUGGAGCUCAUAUCUGUUUUUUCGUUUUAUCAUUAGUAUUUAUUUAUGUAUAGAGUAAAUUACAUCUUUGGCCCCUGAGUACAUCUGAUUUGUUCAGUUUUGUCCCCAAAAAGUUUCCUCUUGCAAUUUGGUCCUUAUUUCGAGGUUUUUGUAACGUUUUUAGUCUUUCUUCCAAAUGUAAUAACUACAUUUUUGGGACCAAAAGUGCAAAAAUCGAUAUACAUAGGACCAAAAAUAGGAAUUUUACUUGGAUAUGGGUCAAAAACGUUAUAAGAACUUCAAAUAAGGACCAAAGUUGCAGGAGAAAACAUUUUGGCACCAAGAUUGCAAUAAUCAGCUAUUACUUAGCGACUGAAUAUGUAAUUUACUUUCAAUUUUUUUUCUUGGUAUGGCAUUUUACUUCGAAAAAUUUACUGAAUUAUAACAUUGUACUUUCAAUUGUUUUCUUAGUACGGCAUUUUACCUAGAAAAUUUAACCCAACUAUAGCAUCAUACUUUUAAUUGUUAUCUUUUUAGGAAAUUAUAUGCUUGAAACAAUCUACCCAUUUAUAGCAGGGAAUUUGAUGCCUAUGUUGUAACUUUAUAUCUUUUGCAGGACUUGAAAGGUUGUUGCAUUUGAAGAACCUUUUUCAAGACUAAUCUGCCCUCAUUUGGUUUUGGGUGACUUUGAAUGAAACAUGGAAGUCAUGGUGUCUUUCUUUGCCAUAAUUUUCCCACUCACCACUGUUUGUUAUUCAUCAGAAAAUUCUCCAGGCUUGUCAAUGUUAAUUACGUAGACAACUGGUCUAGGUACAUUGAAUUUCAUUAUAGAGCUAUUAGAAAUCAUGAAUUACAAAUAAUAACAGUGUACUUUUAGUUUUUUUUAUUUAAUUUUUUUUUUAGUUU